UCCAGACUCCUACGGGAGGCAGCAGUGGGGAAUAUUGCACAAUGGGGGAAACCCUGAUGCAGCGACGCCGCGUGAGUGACGAAGUAUCUCGGUACGUAAAGCUCUAUCAGCAGGGAAGAAAAUGACGGUACCUGACUAAGAAGCCCCGGCUAACUACGUGCCAGCAGCCGCGGUAAUACGUAGGGGGCAAGCGUUAUCCGGAUUUACUGGGUGUAAAGGGAGCGUAGACGGCAGCACAAGUCUGGAGUGAAAGCCCGGGGCUUAACCCCGGAACUGCUUUGGAAACUGUGCGGCUGGAGUGCAGGAGGGGUAAGCGGAAUUCCUAGUGUAGCGGUGAAAUGCGUAGUUAUUAGGAGGAACACCGGUGGCGAAGGCGGCUUACUGGACUGUAACUGACGUUGAGGCUCGAAAGCGUGGGGAGCAAACAGGAUUAGAUACCCUGGUAA
rnacentral:rRNA from 1 species